rnacentral:lncRNA from 1 species
GCAACUCUCUCUGGUCCCUUUCCACACUGUGGAAGCUUUGUUCUUUUGCUCUUUACACUAAAUCUUGUUGCUGCUCAGUGUUUGGGUCCGCACGGCGUUUGUGAGCUGUAACACUCACCACGAAGGUCUGCAUCUUUGCUCCUGAAGCCAGCGCGAAGGUGUGCAGCUUCAGUCCUGAAGCCAGCGAGAUCGCGAACCCGCCAGGAGGGACGAACAACUCCCGCCAGGAGGAACAAACUUCUCCAGACGUGGCGCCGCCUUUAAGAACUGUAACACUCACCGCGAAAGUCUGUAGCUUCGCUCCUGAAGCCAGCGAGACCGCGAACCCACCAGAACAAAGAAACUCCGGACACAUCAUCUUUAAGAACUCACUGGGAGAGUCUGCGGCUUCAUUCCUGAAGUCAGCGAGACCAAGAACCCACCAAUUCUGGACACAAUUGGAUACUAUAAUCGAUAAAGCUUGGCCUUCAGAAAUUCCCAGUCUUGCAAAGGCAAGAGGGAAACACAGCAAGGAGCAAGGUUGUCUGCUGAAUAUUUGCCAAGAGGAAGUUUGGGGAAAUGCCACAUGCAUAGUAAUUCCAAGUAGUAUGAUGUCUCUUCCUGUAACUCUUCAGAUUCUCAAUCCGGUCUCCUGAGAAAGACAGAAAAUGGAUCAUCAUUAGAAGAGGAAGGACUGUUUUACAAGCCAUGGAGGUUUAGUAGAAGUUGGAGGUUAAAAUUGCUCAGUACAAUUGGAAUCUAUUCAAAUAUCCCAUCUCAGUUUUCAGGGACUCAUUGUUAACACCCAAACUUUAACAAAAGCAGCUCUUCAAGGAUUUAAAUUUUAAUUUGUAUUAUAAUUCAACCAAUUGCAGGAUUAGAUUUUGAGUUCAGUUUUCAGAAAUUUUAACCUACAGAUACAAAAUAUAAGGGAUUGUUUCUGGGAAUGCACAGAAGUCCUAUAAGACAUGAGCUCAACUUUUCUCUAAGUUCUCCAGCACAGACAGGGAUAGCUACCUGACUCUACAACCUUAUAUUGUUUUUUUCCCACUCUUAUGUUCCAGUGUGCCAGGAACUUGGCCACUCAACCUUAACAAUACCAUCAUGCAUUACUUCAAGUGAUUACAGAUGGUAAUUUAAGUAACUGAUUUGUCACUACAAUGAAUAGACAACUGGUGUCCAUUUGUCAUUACCAGUGGGGUCAUUAAUGUCUUUAAAUCUGAUCAUAGCAAAAAACUAUAUGGCCUCAUUUUUUAGAGUUUUGACAUCUUCGAACAGCUAUUGGUGCUAAAAACAGUAUCACUCUAGAUUUAGCCAGAAGACAGCAAUAAUGUAAGUAUUACAAGAAUAAGGGGUUUAAUUAAGAAGGAGGACUGACACAAAUGUGAGAAUAGUGCAACUGAAGUUUGGAAGAGGAUCAGAGAAAGUCACCAGUUGCUGCAGCCUGGAGCACUGAAGCAGAUGGAAAAGCCAGAACAUGUGGGGGAAGUCUGAGAAGUCCUGGGACAGGAAUCCUGAUCAUGGGAGCUUCACCAGAAUUCCUUGAAUAUAUCCAUCAGGAAUACAAGUGGUCAGAGAACAAUGUGCUCUCUGUGGGAACUUCUGCAUGAAAUCUUGUCCUCAAUGAACUUAAGCCUUUAGUGCCCUCAAUAAUCUUAAUUGUCUUUUUACGGUUAAACUUCCUUAGCAAUCGGCUGAAUUUUAGGUAAUUUUUCAAUUGACACUUUACAUAUAAAAUCAAAAUGGUAGAUGAAUGUUUAUGUAUAUGUGCUUUAAAAGCUAAUGGAGAAACAGUACAGCAUAAUGAAUCAAAGAUUCCAAAAACAGGUGCACAUCAACACAGUUCAUGUUUUAGUAAAGCAAGUGAAGACACUCUGGAAGUAGUGUGUUGGAGUUAAUUUGUUCCAGCUUAUAAGAGCCAAAUAUUAAAUGUUCAGGAAUUUUGCAAGCUGACUGACAUCACCAUCUUGAAAUUGGCCAUGGUGGUAGCAUUUACACAGUAGAAAUUAGAAAACAGAUUUUUUUUUAAGGCCUAGUUGUUAAAUAUCUAUCAGCAAACCACUACACUCCUGAUAUCCCAAUUUACCCUUUGCCAGCUCUAAAUUCUAUGCAGGAUCAACAUACUUAAGUAGUACAUUUUUCAUUACAUCUAAGUUUUAUUGUCUUUUGAAUUUAGAAAUGCUGAUUUGAUGCGGGAGCAAUUAGCAAUUAGAAUUUAUUAAUAUGGAGGGUCCAUUUUAGAAAAAGCAAUUAAUAAAUUUUCUACAGAUAGCAGAGAUAGACUGCAGGAACACAGUAAAUGGAAGCCAUUUGUAAAAAGAAGUAGGUGAUAUCUGGGUUCUUCCUUUUACUAUAUUUACUUUGUAAAUCACAACAUGGUACAUGUUGUGAUUCUUAAAGAGAUUUUGGAUGCAUAUCUAGGGUAACUACACAUUGUAUAUGUACAGUGGCAGAAAGAAAUCAUAAGUAAUUUCAUGUUAACUCGAUUUGUCAGUGAUGAUGGAUCUUUCAAAGAGUGUUUUUGUCAAUACAAAACCUGAGUCAAAAAUGAGUAAUUAGUUAAUUAGUCUUAUUUUCAGGAAGCCUAUUUAUUUUUAUGGUUGAACUUCCUUAGAAAUUGACUGAAUUUUAAGUAAUUUCUCAACUGGCAAUUUAUAUAUAAAACUAAAAUGCUACGUAGAGUUACUGAAUUUUGAUGAAUAUUUUUGCAUAUGUGCUUUAACAGUUUUAUUAGGGUACGAUUUAUAAACUAUAAAAAUUUUCCAUUACAAUUGUACAACUCAGUGACAUUUGGGAUAUUUAUAGAGUUGGCAAUCAUCACUACAAUACAGUUUUAUAACGUUUCUAUCACACAAGAAAAUGUCUUUUAGGCUGUCAUUAAUUCCUGUUCCAACCCUUAACUUCAGACAACCAUUGAUCUGUUUUCUGCAUCUGUAAAUUUGUGUAUUCUGGAUAUUUCAUAUAAAUGGAAACAUGCAACAUGUGGCCAUUUGUAUCUGGCUUGUUUCACUUAGCAUAAUGUUAGGAGAUUCAUCCAUGUAGAGCAUGUAUCAGUAUUUCAUUCCUUUUUAUUGCUGAAUAGUAUUUGAUUUUAUAGAUUUAUCACAUUUUGUAUAUCCAUGCACCCGUUGAUUAAUAUUUGGAUUCAUCAUUUGCAUUAGUUAAUGUAAAUAAUACUUUCUUGAACAUACACAUACAAAACUUUGUGUGGACGUAUACUUUUAUUGUUCUUGGGUACAUUGCCAGGAAAUGGAAUUUCUGUGUUGUUUGGUAAACUUAUAUUUAACAUUUUCAGAAACUACCAAACUGUUUUCCAAAGUAGCUGUAUCAUUUUACAUUCUCACCAACAAUGUUAGUGAACUCCAGUUAUCCCAUAUCCACACAUAUACUUAGUAUUGUCUAUGUAAUUGACUAUAGCCAUUUCAGUGGAAUAAUGCACAAAAAUGUUCAGGAUUCACACAGUGAAAACUACAAAAUAUAAAGCUGCAUCUCAUGAAUUGUGAUAUGUUGUCUUUUCAUUUUCGUUAAAUUUAAAAUAAUUUCUAAUUUUCUAUUUAAUUUAUUAUUUGGCUUAUUUAGAAUUAUUCUAUUUAGUUUCUAUGUACUUGAGGGCUUUCCAGGGACCUUUCUGUUAGUUAUUUCUAAUUAAAUUGCGUUGUGAACAGAAAACGCACUUAGUAUGAUGACCUUUGUAAAAAAUGUAUUGAGACUUAUUUUGUACCCCACCCUAUAAUCUAUCUUGGAGAAUAUUUUUUGUGUACUUAAAAAGAUUAUAUAUUUUGCAGUCAUUGUUUGGCAUGUCCUAAAUAUGUCAGUUAGGUUGAAUUGGUUGGUAGAAUUGUACAAGUCUAUACCCUUGCUGAAUGUUUUUCCGAAGUUGUUUUAUUAGCUAUUGAGGGCAAGAUAUUGAAAUACACAACUAUUACCUUUGAAAUGUCUAUUACUCUUUUGAGUUCUGUCUAUAUUUGCUUCAUGUGUUUAGGGAUUCUGUUGUUAGGCAUCUAUCUAUCUAUCUAUCUAUCUAUCUAUCUAUCUAUCAUCUAUCUAAUUGAUAUGUUGACUCUUUUAUCAUCAUGGAAUGCUCUCCUUUGCCUUUAGUAAUAUAUGUCACCUUAAAAUAAAUUAUUUUUAUAUUAAUACAGCCACU